rnacentral:lncRNA from 1 species
CCUGUCUACACAGAGUAGCAGUGGCUCUCCAGGAUUUCAGACAGGGGUCUGCCCCAGCCCCACCUGUGUGCUAAGCAGAUGCUCUACCAUUGGGUUUUACAGAAGCUUCAAAGAAAAUGUACACAGAGUAAUUGUGAAAACAUUACAGGCAACAGAAGGUUGCCUGGUAUUAGGGGCAAUAGCUUCAUUGAUGCAUGGGAAACUGAGGUGGGGUUCCAGAAACCUGCAAAAGGGCAACAAACUACAAGAAGGACGCAGCUGGAGAGAAUGAUUCCUAGUUUCAGUUGUCUCUACUGAAAGGCACAGGGUAUGGGAAACAAGCAAGAUGAAUUGGAGCUUUUAAUACAGGAUGGCAAAUAAGACAUAUGACCUAGAAGGCGAGUAGGCAUUGUCUCAGGGUUCAAGAUUUCUUUAACAGAUUGGAGGAUUGGGUUAACAAAUGAAUUUGAAUAGGGAGAAAUGUAAGGUUCUGCACUUAGGCAGGAAGUACCAACUUCACAAAUAUAAGUUGAAGGACACCUGGCUUACUAGGAUCUCGCCAUCUUAAUGAAAUUCAAGCUUCACUUGAGUGAACAGUGUGGUGCAGUUUUUGCUGUAUGUGUAUUUAAAACAAAUUCUUUAUUGGUUUAAUUCAAUCUGCCUGUAAGCUGCCUUGUUGCUCCCUAGCACAGAAAGACAUGGAACCUAAGUUUCUUUAAACAGAUUGACCAAAAAUGGUACACAGCAAUACGCUUUGAUGUCCAACUCUCAUUGCAGUGUUGUACCAAAAUACUAUCAGCAAAUUCUGGCCUUGGUGUUUGCAGUCAAGGAAAUCAACAAGAAUUCCAAUAUAUUACCUAAUGUCACAUUAGGAUUCCACAUCUUUGAUAGUUACUUCAGUGAAAGGAUGACCUACUGGGCCACUUUGGAGCUGCUCUCUACACACUACAGAUUCGUACCCAACUACCAGUGUGACAAACAGAAAAAUCUGAUGGCCGUCAUUGGGGGACUUGACUUUGAGGUUUCCCUCCACAUGGCAGCCAUCUUAGGUGUCUACAAGAUUCCCCAGGUAAGAGUCAAACAUGGUGACUCAUUCUUCUUUCCUCUGUCCUGUUGAGAAAAGUUUUGCAUUCCAUCAUAGCCCUCUUGACAAUUUCAAAUUGUAUUCAAUAAAAGCUUUCAUCCGUCUUCAUCCAUUUCCCAACGUGUGCAUGUUCUUCAGAGGGUAGGAAUGGAACAUUUUGCAGAUACAGUUGUACACACCUGCUCUAUGUAUGUGAACAGCUUGAUCUGCCGGCCUCAGGUAGACUCCAACCAGGAUGAAUUACGGAGGCUGCUCAUCAGUCACUUGUACAUUACCUUAAUUAAUUUGACCUGGACAAUUUGGGGCUGUCAGGGGUGCCAUCAACAGGUCACUGGUUAUCUACCUAGUGAAAUCAGAGGAGCAGAGAGAGCUUUUCAAUGGUUUCAUUUUAAUCCACAGGAAGACAGAAACACGUGAAAGUAUGCUCUCACCCUUGAGCUAAUAUUGCUCAGAUUGCAACUCCACCCUGCACCGACAAUUUCUUCCUAGAAAUCAGACGCCUCCUGCUGCCUAUGGUGGCUGCUAAGAUCAAUUCUCUUUUGGGUUCUGCAGAGCAUGUCUGGUCCUUGUGGAAGGAGGGGGCUCUGACAAACUCUCUUGAGAAAGAAUGUCACUUGGCUGCUGUACUGUUUCUAAGAAAUCUGACUCCUGUCUUUGUUCAUUGCCACCUUGCUCUGGUUCAUCAUCACUUAUUAUUUCCCAGGUGCUUUUUCCUUCUCAGGUGUGACCUGUCUCAAACCACCACACCAUACUCUCCCCCCUUCCUUCUUUCUGGAAGGUUCUUAGGGUGCUGCUCUCCACCACUCCUCCUCAUCUGCCCAUUCCCUGACGGGCUUACUAAGACAGCAGGUCCAAAGCACAAUGGUUUCAUCAUUGCAAUCCACACAUAACCAAUGUUUCUACUGCAUUAAUGGGAAUUAAGUGUCCGUUUCCUUCUAGCUCACUUAUGGCUCCUUUGCCCCAGAGGAUGCUGGUCAAAGCCAAUCCACUCCCUUCUACUGGAUGGUGCCCAAUGAAGCCCAUCAGUACACUGGGAUUGUUGAGUUACUUCUGCACUUUGGAUGGACGUGGGUUGGGUUGUUCGCGGUGGAUAGUGAGAGUGGAGAGAAGUUUAUGGAAAUCCUGCAAACUCUGCUUUUCCAGAGAGGCAUUUGCUUGGCCUUUUCAGAGAGAACUCCAAAAGGCUCAUAUUUUGAAGAGUAUUAUCACAUGAUUCCCCAGUGGCUCCAAGCCUAUCUUGCUAUUGCGGAAAGCAAAGCCAAUGCUGUUGUUGUCUAUGGAGAAGCCAAGUCCAUGUGUUUUUUGCAACUAUGGCUAGCGGCAGGGGGUGCAGAAAAUGUGACAUCUAUGGAGAAGGUAUGGAUUAUGACUGCUCAAUUGGAUUUCUCAGCAUUGGCCUUUCAAAUGAGCCAGAGUAUGCAACCAUUUCAUGGCUCCAUCUGCUUCACAGUGCACUCAAAGGAGGUGCAAGGAUUCAAGACCCUUCUUCGCUCCCUCAAUCCUUUCAUGGCAGGUGAAGAUGGUUUUCUUCAGCAGUUCUGGCUGCAGACAUUCUAUUGUUUCUUUUCAAAAUCCAGUACUGAGUUCAGUGAACCCUGCACUGGACAGGAGAAGCUGGACAGCCUCCCCUCGUCUGGCUUUGAGAUGAGCAUGACUGGCCACAGCUACAGCAUCUACAAUGCUGUCUAUGUUGUGGCACAUGCCCUACAUGAUGCCAUGUACAGAUCCAGGGCAAAAGACAGAGGAAUUGUGAGAAGAUGGAGACCGCAGCUUCAGAAAUUGCAGCCUUGGCAGGUAAUGGCUCUUUUUUUUUGGUAUAUCUUUUAAUUAUUAUUUCAUUUUAUAUUGUUGAUAAAGCAAAGAUAACGCAAUUUUAACAACAGACAAAAAUUGAGAGAUGAAUAACUGAACUGUAAAAUAGGCAGGUAGGAUGUGUAGCUGCACGUGAGUUAAAUAAAGACUUUAAAGUCCAAAUUAAGUCCAAUUGUAUCAGAUCACCAAGCAUAGUUCCAGAUUUGCCAGGUUUGUGGGGAGGGGUUGUUUUGAAAACGUUGGUUCUGCUGUAUAUGCCAAAUCAUAUAAAACGUGUCUAGUCCUUGUCAAAAUCUCAAAUUAUUUGUGAUUAUUUUGCUAUAGCUAUAUUCCAGAGUGAGUGGUACAAAGUGUCCAGCAUCAGAUUUUUGGGCUGUGUUCUAUUGAGUUGCCAUUACUAUGAAUGCUGCCACUUUAAUCUUGCCAAUUUUUUGGCAACAUAUUUACAAUGGUAUCAUCAGAAAUACACAGUGACAUUCAUUUUGGACAACAAACCAUCUUUUUAUAGUAAUAUUUAUCAUUUCUGAGAAAAUCGGAUACAACCCACUCACCUGAGCUUCAGCUCUUCAAAACAGCUAGGUGUGAUAUUGUCAAUGGCAAUUUCUAUCUCAACUAGAGUCUUAACAGGAACACCUGUUUUGCCUGUUCCUCCCUCAGUCUUACCCUCCCACCAUUUUCUUGUUCUUUCAUUUAUACCCUUUCUGCAUUGAACUUCAUGGAUGUUUGCAUGAUGAUUUUGGAAGUCCUGUUUAAGCUUUGUUUUGUUUUUAUAAUUAAUUUUUAUUCAGUUUCCAAUAUACAUUCCAUCCAUAUUUAACAUCCACUUCUAACAUAUACAUCUUUUAGACUUCCCUCAGCCUAUCUGACAAUUUUCCAUAUAAUCACAAUUACUCACAUUUCUUAAAUUUAUAUUGCGCUUUAACAAUCUUAAUCUUAUCAUAUCUUUUAAGCAACAUUUCUGUCCAUCGUUUUCACAGAGCUUCUUGAAAGCCAACAAGCGUUAUUUGCUCCUCACAUACAUUUUUGGUAUACUCUGUGAAUUUAUUCCAGUCCUCGGUGAAUCUCUGAUCACGCUGGUUCCGAAUUUUCCCCGUUAAUUUGUCCAUUUCUGCAUAUUCCAUCAGUUUCAUUCUCCAUUCUUCCCUCGUCGGCAUUUCUUCCUGUUUCCAUUUCUGGGCCAUCAAAAUUCUAGCUGCUGUCACUGCAUACCUAAAUAAUUUCACAUCAUUCUUUUUAAUUUCAUUCCCUAAUAUUCCUAAUAAAAAUGCUUCUGGUUUCUUAACAAAAGUAUAUUUCAACAUUUUCUUCAUCUCAUUAUAAAUCAUUUCCCAGAAGCCUUUCACUUUCUUACACUCCCACCACAUGUGAUAAAAUGUUCCUUCUUUUUCCUGACAUUUCCAACAUUUAUUACUGACUUUAUACAUCUUACCAAGUUUCACUGGUGUUACAUACCAUCUAUACAUCAUUUUCAUAACAUUUUCUUUUAUUGUAGUGCAUGCAGUGAAUUUCAUUCCUUCUUUCCACAAUUUUAUCCACUCAUCAAAUUGUAUAUUAUAACCAAAAUCUAUGGCCCACUGAAUCAUAAUUGAUUUUACUUCCUCAUCCUUUGUAUGCCACUCAAGUAAUAAUUUAUACAUUUUUGAUAAAAUUUUAACAUCACUAUUCAAGAUUUCUUGAUGAAACCUAGAUUUCUUUUCCUGGAAACCUCUUUCUGACAACUCUUUUUUGAACAUUGCAUUUAACUGAAAAUAGUGCAACCAGUCACUCACAUUUUCUUUAACUUCUUCAUAUGGUCUCAGUUUCCAUUUAUUACCUUCUUUAAUUAUCAAAUUCUCUUAAGUAAUCCAUCUCCCUGUCAUAUUGAUCUUUUUCACACUCAUUAUCUCCAAUGGUGAUAGCCAAUAUGGAGUUUUAAACUCUAAUAAAUUUUUAUACCUAUUCCAGACUUCAAUCAACGAUCUUCUUCUAAAGAUGUGGUUUUCAAAACCUUUAUGCACUCUAUUCUUUUCACACCAUAAAUACGCGUGCCAACCGAAUCUAUUAUCAUAACCUUCUAAGUCCAACAAUUCUGUGUUUUCUAACUUUAUCCAUUCUUUCACCCAGCAAAGACACGAAGCUUCAUAAUAUAGCUUUAAAUCUGGCAGGGGAAGUCCUGUUUAAGCUUUGAAAUACAUAUACAGUGUGCCUUAGUCCUAUACGGAGGAAUCUACAGAGGAAAGAGAGAUCAAAAUUUACUGUUAUUAUUGCUAUUGUUAUUAUUUUGUGAUUAUAUGAAAUCUUGUCUACUGCCUUGGAAGAGGCAAUGGCACUUUAAAAGGCUAUGCUGAACAUAAGAUAAGGUUGAGUUUUAAACAAUUGUCCUUUUCCUGCCAUCUCAAUGCAGCUCCACCCAUUUCUUAGGAGUGUCUCAUUUAACAACAGUGCGGGAGAAGAAGUGUCUUUUAGUGAGAACAGGGAAUUAGAAGCUGGAUUCGAUAUUACCAACUUGGUCACUUUCCCAAAUAACUCCUUCAUCAGAAUGAAGGUUGGAUGGAUGAAUUUGGAUGCUCCCCCAGGAAAAGAGUUUUCCAUCAAUGAAGACAAAAUGGUGUGGCACAGGAGUUUUCAGCAGGUGGGGCAUGAUUUCAGCAAAUUGCAACUCCAGUGGGUCCUAAAUGAGAUGCUUGCAUCUUUGAAGCCUAGCUGAGACAUGGAUCCUGUAUUUUUCCUCACUUGUUGUUUAUGAAAACCUCUAUGAAUGUUGUGGGGCUCUGAUGCCCUGAAGGAGGCCAGGACAUAGUUCAUUAUUAUAUGCUUGUUUGUUUAUUGCAUUUUUAGUCCACCUUUCCUUUGCUUACUUCCCAUUUUAUCCUAACAACCAACAACCCUGUAAGGUAGUGUAGACUGAGAGCAGCAGUGACUGGUCCAAGGUCACCCAAUGAGUUUCAUUUGAACCCUGGUCUUCCACUUCCCUGUCUAGCACAUUCUUUAAAGAUUUCUAGGCCAGCACAGUGUGACCUAAGCCUAACCUCCAACCAACUUCUUUGGGGAGAAAGAAAAGGGAGCUGAGCCUGGAGACAGAGGAGGCAGACUUCUGCAGAGAAUGCCUGGUUUGGAGGCUAGUAAUUCUCAAGUUAUAGUAGCAGAAGUCUGGCAGAGUCCAGCACUAUCCUUGGUUUUGAGGCUGCUUAACUUGUGUACGAUUGUCUCUUGGCCCAGUGUAUUUAGUCUGGGGUUCUCAGUUCCCAAUAUUUGUGUUUUUCAGGUGGAAAAACUGAAGGAACCUGACAGUGUAUAUAGGUAGCUGCUUAUUUAAAUCACUUAGGAUGUCAAAACAUCCUUUCAACUCUACUUUAAAUCCUUUUCAGUUUUAUAAGAAAUGUAUUUUUCCAAAUAAUAAUAAUAUUACUGUUCAGGUGGACUCCCUCCCUCCCUCUUUUUUAUUUUUACUUUUUUAAAAACACAUUGAAAUGGCCAUAACUUCAUUUUCAGAGUCACAAAACAUCUUCUGUCUCAUUAGAUGCCAUUAAUGGCUGUUGACAGCUCAUUGUUUUCAAAAUUCUCUUAAUAUUCAGCAGGCCAUUUCUCCCAUCCACUUGAUCCCUUGCAGCCCAGAAAAUGGAGUUCAGGUUCUCCAAAGGUCCAUUAUUCCCCCUGUGCUAAACAUUUCCUUAUGAUUAAUUAAAAUUCACAGGUGCCACCCCUCUCUCAAUGCAACAAAAAUUGCCCUUCUGGUACUAGGAGAAAAAGCAGGAAGGGGAGAAAUUCUGCUGCUAUGACUGUGCUCCAUGUUCAGAAGGCAAGAUUUCAUACCAGAAAGGUAGGAGACAUUAGGUAGCUUUCAGAUAACUCAGAUUUCCUGUGAAGGGUCUGUGUCAAUGUGAAAGGUGUCACAGUUGCUGCUAUUGAUGUAGUUCUGAUUUCCAUGGUGAUUGAAGUUCACAGACUUGGAGCUCUUUAUUGCAACCAGCUGAUGGCCCAGCAACGAGGCCCAGCAUUUUCAAAGAGGUGCUUUGCAAGCCCAAAUGAUCAGAUGAUGGUUGGGGUUUACAAAGCACACUGUUACCUGCCCUACACCUAACAUCAGAGAUGACAUCAGAUACAGGGCCCGUAGGUGUAACUUGCUAAAAUGGCCCCAUACUGCCAGGAGGAUGCAUACCUACUCUCAAGUUGCACCCUUAAAGGGAAUCCUUUCUUCUUUUCAGACAUGAAUGACUGUGUCGGAUGCUCAGAAGAUCACUAUCCAAACAGGAACCAAACACAAUGCAUUGCAAAGUCCAUCAGCUUCUUGACUUUGGAAGAACCGCUUGGGAUGAGCUUAGCUUUUGGCUCCGUAUUCUCCUCUUUGCUGACCAUCUUGUCCCUCGCCAUCUUUAUGAAGCAUCAGGACACACCGAUUGUCAGGGCCAAUAAUCGGGACCUCACCUACGUUCUCCUCCUGUCUCUCCUUCUCUGUUUUCUCUGUCCCCUCAUCUUCCUCAGCCGACCAGACAGAGUGACCUGCCUUGUCCGACAAAUGGCUUUUGGUGUGGUUUUCACAGUGACUGUUUCUUGUGUGUUGGCCAAAACCAUCACCGUUGUUCUGGCAUUCAUGGCCACCAAACCAGGAUCCAGAAUGAGGAAAUGGGUGGGGAAAAGACUGGCAAGCGCCAUUGUGUUGACUUGUACUAUUAUCCAAGCUGGUAUUUGCACUGUGUGGCUGGGAACCUCUCCCCAUUUCCCCAUUUUGACAAGCAUUCUGUGACAGGAGAAAUUAUUCUGGAAUGUAAUGAAGGGUCAGCUGCCAUGUUUUACUGUGUCCUGGGCUACAUGGGCCUCCUGGCCAUUGUCAGUUUUGUUGUAGCAUUUUUAGCCAGGAAACUGCCUGACAGCUUUAAUGAGGCCAAAUUCAUCACCUUCAGCAUGUUGUUAUUUUGUAGUGUUUGGAUCUCCUUUGUUCCGGUCUACCUGAGCUCCAAGGGAAAACACAUGGUGGCUGUGGAGAUCUUCUCCAUCUUGGUCUCCAGUGCUGGUUUACUGGGUUCCAUCUUUUCCCCCAAAUGCUACAUUAUCAUAUUAAGGCCUGAUCUGAAUGACAAACAGCAGUUAAUAAAGAAGAAAUAGCAAAGUACCCUGUUGUCACUUUUUUCUGUUACCCCAGAACAUGGGUAAUGAAUUUGCUGCCGACUCCUUGAUAUAAUUUUAUUUUAUUUGUUUAUUGAACUUGCUAUGUGCAUAAAAAAAAUCAGAUGGUUCUCCCCCACCCCGAGAUGUGGUCUGCACCUUUGGGAGCCCAAGGGCACAACUGGAAAACUGAGGAACUCUUGUGGACACAAAAAAACACCAAUUUCACAGAAGAAAGUGUGGAGAUGCUCAGAAACUCCACCUCCAUCCUUUCUUGUAACUUGAAUACAUUGGUUUGGGUCCUACUCUCUGUAGCAAUAGACAAGCUUGCUGCAUCUUCCAUGUGACAGCCCUUGAGGUAUUUGAAGAUGGGUAUCAUAUCUCCUCUCAGUCUCCUUUUUCUAGGCUAAACAUACCCAGCUCCCUCAACCAUUGCUCAUAAGGCUUGGUUUCCCACCCAUCAUCUUCCUGGCUGCCCUCCUCUGCACAUGUUCAGCACACAUUUUACCUCAUGAAAAUAUAAUGGGGGACUUUGCCAAAAGCCUGCCUGAACUCAAAAUAGACUAUGACCACAGCAUUCUCCUGAUCCACUACAUUUGUAAUGCCAUAAAAAAUAAAAUAAAUGAGAUUGGCCUGGUAUGACUACAACAGGCCCAGGACAGAACCCUUUGGCAUCUCUGUGGCAUCAAGAGAUAAUAUCCCUAUGCUAUGAGGAGAAAAUGAAAAGGAGGGAAAUACCCCUCUUCCCAGAGAGAGUGACAGAUGCCACAUAUACUUAUUCUGAGCUCAGAAUUGUACAUGCAGCUCUCUGUGUGAAUGAAGAAGUACUUGCAGAAGAGCCAGGACAGAAAUUCCCUACCUCAAGUUUUGUUUUCAAUUUUGCCUCCCUUACAGGCCUGUGGUCUGAAGUCUAGUGCUGCUUCCUUGGAAUCAGAGAGUCAGGGCCGAGCUCACAAUCCCCUUUGUGUCUCAAACUCUGCUCUUGAAUGCACUUUCCUCUUCACAAAGCAGCAUGUGAGAAAAGAGUUUAGGUGAAAUCACAAGGGCAGUCUUUGCCCUGGGCACAGUUUUUUCCAGGGCACGUUUUGCUCCUCACACCACCCAUGCCAGCCCUGUUGUGCUUUGCAAGUGCGAUCCCACAUCCCAGCCCCUCAAAGCAGCAUGGGGCUGGCAGGGCAUCAGGACGAUGUAAUGGGCAUGUGCCCUUCCUGCUGCGUCUUCCUCAUGUCACCCACCCAGCCUGUCACGGAUGCUUUAGUUGUGACCCCUGCAUUCCAGGGGGUCGAGCUUGAUGACCUUUGGGGGGAUCCUUUCAAUUCUACAUUUUUUUGUUUAUUUAGGUGAAUAUAUAGGGCCCCCCAUGGGACGCGGGUGGCGCUGUGGGUAAAACCUCAGCGCCUAGGACUUGCCGAUCGCAUGGUCGGUGGUUCGGAUCCCCGCGGCGGGGUGCGCUCCCGUCGUUCGGUCCCAGCGCCUGCCAACCUAGCAGUUCGGAAGCACCUCCGGGUGCAAGUGGAUAAAUAGGGACCGCUUACAAGCGGAAAGGUAAACGGCGUUCCGUGUGCUGCGCUGGCUCGCCAGAUGCAGCUUGUCACGCUGGGCACAUGACCCGGAAGUGUCUGCGGACAGCGCUGGCUCCCGGCCUAUAGAGUGAGAUGAGCGCACAACCCUAGAGACUGGCAAGACUGGCCUGAACGGGCAGGGGUACCUUUACCUUUUACUAUAGGGGCCCUAAAAAGGCCUGAAGACAGGGCCCAAUGGACCGUAUGUCCAUCAUCACAGCUCAUGCCUUGAAGUCACUCAGAGUCUGCUCACAAUUGUUCCUUUCCAGCCAAAUUCUACCAGUGGCAGGAUUCAUCUUGGCCCCAUGGGUUUACCUGCCCCAUGCCUGGCCUCACAUAACAUCAGCUGAUGGACAUGUGAAUGUGGUUUGGACCAUGAGCCCAAUGGAGAGGCUUGGUUGGCCUAACUGCUGCAGGUCAGAGGUCCUUGUUGAUUCCCCGCAAGGAGCUUUCUCUACCUGUGUAGAUUCUCUUGAGUGAUUGACAACUUUUAGGGUUCUGGAUUGUGUAAGAAAGUACCGUAAGGACAGCAAGCUACAGAGGCUCUCUUCUGAGAACACAGUAGGUGAUGAAACUGGCAGCAGGGAUGCAAUGGAGGAGAAGGGGCAACAGACUUGUUCCUGCUCCCCCCUCAUUACAAUGCCUUGAAAACACUUGAAGGAGGCUGCUGAGGGAUUAUUCUGUGUGGAUCAUUGUCUCUGCUACCUCCAAUGGACCAGCUGAGGCAAAGGGAUCAUUAUUCUCUCCCCUGUUAUUAUCAAUUACAUGGUAAUAAUCUGCUUCUGAUUAGACCUCCAUAGACUUCCAGGAAUCCAGUCUAAAAAGAAUUAAAACCCUCUCUGCCAUCCCCAGCAAAUGCUAAGGUGCUGCUGACUCGUUUAGUGAGCUUUCCCCUGGAGUUGGAUCCUAGGUCUUGGGAAUUUAGCUGGUGCAUUCGGAGAGUGCCAUUCAAGGUAAGCUGCUGUACUGAGGUUGUUUCUAAUGCCAAUGCUGAUUAGCUGUAAACAGCGAAAUCGCUGUCCAGGAAAGUGUAUUGUUCCUAGUAUGGCAGUGUUGAUGCUGUUAAUCUUCUCGCUGCCUCAAAUGGUGAAUCUGUCAAAUGUCAGUCGGAGCAUCAGUCAUCUCCAUAUCCCACACAAGUACUAUCAGUCAGGUGACCUUAUCAUUGGUGCACUUGCUUCUCACAUCGUGUCCUCUGUUGACUAUGAAACCUUCAUACAAUGGCCAUCCAUCCAUCAGAUUCUUAAUCCAUUGUAAGUGUUGCAAAUUUUCAAUUCCCAUGUCAUAUUAAUUCCUAAGUUACCAUGUGGGCUCAGAAAUACUUCCUAUUUAUUUUAUCUAUGGAGAUUUAUUACUUAUAGAGAGGGGUGCAAAAUAUCCCUCCCCACCACCUGAAUUUUAACAUCUAAAAUGAUCAAGACAGACAAUAAAUUUUUCGUCAAGCCUGUAGGAAUGAGGUGGAUUAUCUAGGAUCCAGCGUGGAAGCAAAGAAAGAGCAGUCUUCCAGUGAGAUAUGACAUGAUGUUCUGGGUGGUGUGUUUCUCUCUCACCCCCAAGCUCCCCAACCCCAUUUUCCAGAGCAGUGCUUAAUGGAGAGGAGGAGCCAUGGCCACGACCAGUCACAUGGGUGUCAUAAUCUAGAGAGCCCAGCAUUCUGAUGUCAACAGGAAAUGGGUGAAUGGCCAGUACGAACCAUUGGUCUACCUAGCUCAGGCCUGUCUACACAGAGUAGCAGUGGCUCUCCAGGAUUUCAGACAGGGGUCUGCCCCAGCUCCACCUGUGUGCUAAGCAGAUGCUCUACCAUUGGGUUUUACAGAAUCUUCAAAGAAAAUGUACACAGAGUAAUUGUCAAAACAUUACAGGCAACAGAAGGUUGGCUGCUAUCGGGGGCAAUAGCUUCAUUGAUGCGUGGGAAACUGAGGUGGGGUUCCAGAAACCUGCAAAAGGGCAACAAACUACAAGAAGGACGCAGCUGGAGAGAAUGAUUCCUAGUUUCAGUUGUCUCUACUGAAAGGCACAGGGUAUGGGAAACAAGCAAGAUGAAUUGGAGCUUUUAAUACAGGAUGGCAAAUAAGACCUAUGACCUAGAAGGCGAGUAGGCAUUGCCUCAGGGUUCAAGAUUUCUUUAACAGAUUGGAGGAUUGGGUUAACAAAUGAAUUUGAAUAGGGACAAAUGUAAGGUUCUGCACUUAGGCAGCAAGUACCAACUUCACAAAUGUAAGUUGAAGGACACCUGGCUUACUAGGAUCUCGCCAUCUUAGUGGAACUCAAGCUUCACUUGAGUGAACAGUGCGGUGCAGUUUUUGCUGUAUGUGUAUUUAAAACAAAUUCUUUAUUGGUUUAAUUCAAUCUGCCUGUAAGCUGCCUUGUUGCUCCCUAGCACAGAAAGACAUGGAACCUAAGUUUCUUUAAACAGAUUGACCAAAAAUGGUACACAGCAAUACGCUUUGAUGUCCAACUCUCAUUGCAGUGUUGUACCAAAAUACUAUCAGCAAAUUCUGGCCUUGGUGUUUGCAGUCCAGGAAAUCAACAAGAAUUCCAAUCUAUUACCUAAUGUCACAUUAGGAUUCCACAUCUUUGAUAGUUACUUCAGUGAAAGGAUGACCUACUGGGCCACUUUGGAGCUGCUCUCUACACACUACAGAUUCGUACCCAACUACCAGUGUGACAAACAGAAAUAUCUGAUGGCCGUCAUUGGGGGACUUGACUUUGAGGUUUCCCUCCACAUGGCAGCCAUCUUAGGUGUCUACAAGAUUCCCCAGGUAAGAGUCAAACAUGGUGACUCAUUCUUCUUUCCUCUGUCCUGUUGAGAAAAGUUGUGCAUUCCAUCAUAGCCCUCUUGACAAUUUCAAAUUGUAUUCAAUAAAAGUUUUCAUUCGUCUUCAUCCAUUUCCCAACGUGUGUAUAUUCUUCAGAAGGUAGGAAUGGAACAUUUUGAAGAUACAGUUGUACACACCUACUCUAUGUAUGUGAACAGCUUGGUCUGCUGGCCUCACGUAGACUCCAACCAGGAUGAAUUAUGGAGUGCUCAUCAGUCGCUUGUACAUUACCUUAAUUAAUUUGACCUGGAUAAUUUGGGGCUGUCAGGGUGCCGUCAACAGGUCACUGGUUAUCUACCUAGUGAAAUCAGAGGAGCAGAAAGAGCUUUUCAAUGGUUUCAUUUUAAUCCACAGGAAGACAGAAACACGUGAAAGUAUGCUCUCACCCUUGAGCUAAUAUUGCUCAGAUUGCAACUCCACCAUGCACCGACAAUUUCUUCCUAGAAAUCAGACGCCUCCUGCUGCCUAUGGUGGCUGCUAAGAACAAUUCUCUUUUGGGUUCUGCAGAGCGUGUCUUGACCUUGUGGAAGGAGGGGGCUCUGACAAACUCUCUUGAGAGAGAAUGUCACUUGGCUGCUGUACUGUUUCUAAGAAAUCUGACUCCUGUCUUUGUUCAUUGCCACCUUGCUCUGGUUCAUCAUCACUUAUUAUUUCCCAGGUCCUUUUUCCUUCUCAGGUGUGACCUGUCUCAAACCACCACACCAUACUCUCCCCCUUCCUUCUUUCUGGAAGGUUCUUAGGGUGCUGCUCUCCACCACUCCUCCUCAUCUCCCCAUUUCCUGACGGGCUUACUGAGACAGCGGGUCCAAAGCACAAUGGUUUCAUCAUUGCAAUCCACACAUAACCAAUGUUUCUACUGCAUUAAUGGGAAUUAAGUGUCCGUUUCCUUCUAGCUCUCUUAUGGCUCCUUUGCCUUGGAGGAUGCUGGUCAAAGCCAAUCCACUUCCUUCUACCGGAUGGUGCCCAAUGAAGCCCAUCAGUACACUGGGAUUGUUGAGUUACUUCUGCACUUUGGAUGGACGUGGGUUGGGUUGCUUGCGUUGGAUAGUGAGAGUGGAGAGAAGUUUAUGGAAAUCCUGCAAACUCUGCUUUUCCAGAGAGGCAUUUGCUUGGCCUUUUCAGAGAGAACUCCAAAAGGCUCAUAUUUUGAAGAGUAUUAUCACAUGAUUCCCCAGUGGCUCCAAGCCUAUCUUGCUAUUGCGGAAAGCAAAGCCAAUGCUGUCGUUGUCUAUGGAGAAGCCAAGUCCAUGUUUUAUUUGCAACUAUGCCUAGCGGCAGGGGGUGCAGAAAAUGUGACAUCUAUGGAGAAGGUAUGGAUUAUGACUGCUCAAUUGGAUUUCUCAGCAUUGGCCUUUCAAAUGAGCCAGAGUAUGCAACCAUUUCAUGGCUCCAUCUGCUUCACAGUGCACUCAAAGGAGGUGCAAGGAUUCAAGACCCUUCUUCGCUCCCUCAAUCCUUUCAUGGCAGGUGAAGAUGGUUUUCUUCAGCAGUUCUGGCUGCAGACAUUCUAUUGUUUCUUUUCAAAAUCCAGUACUGAGUUCAGUGAACCCUGCACUGGACUGGAGAAGCUGGACAGCCUCCCCUCGUCUGGCUUUGAGAUGAGCAUGACUGGCCACAGCUACAGCAUCUACAAUGCUGUCUAUGUUGUGGCACAUGCUCUACAUGAUGCCAUGUACAGAUCCAGGGCAAAAGACAGAGGAAUUGUGAGAAGAUGGAGACCGCAGCUUCAGAAAUUGCAGCCUUGGCAGGUAAUGGUUCUUUUGUUGUUGUUGUUGUUGUUGUAUAUCUUUUAAUUAUUAUUUCAUUUUAGAUUGUUGAUAAAGCAAAGAUAACGCAAUUUUAACAACAGACAAAAAUUGAAAGAUGAAUAACCAAACUGUAAAAUAGGCAGGUAGGGUGUGUAGUUGCACGUGAGUUAAAUAAAGACUUUAAAGUCCAAAUUAAGUCCAAUUGUAUCAGAUCACCAAGCACAGUUCCAGAUUUGCCAGGUUUUGGGGGAGGGGGUUGUUUUGAAAACGUUGGUUCUGUUGUAUAUGCCAAAUCAUAUAAAACAUGUCUAGUCCUUGUCAAAAUCUCAAAUUAUUUGUGAUUAUUUUUGUUAUAGCUAUAUUCCAGAGUGAGUGGUACAAAGUGUCCAGCAUCAGAUUUUUGGGCUGUGUUCUAUUGAGUUGCCAUUACUAUGAAUGCUGCCACUUUAAUCUUGCCAAUUUUUUUUGGCAACAUAUUUACAAUGGUAUCAUCAGAAAUACACAGUGACAUUCAUUUUGGACAACAAACCAUCUUUUUAUAGUAAUAUUUAUCAUUUCUGAUCAUUUCUGAGAAAAUCGGAUACAACCCACUCACCUGAGCUUCAGCUCUUCAAAACAGCUAGGUGUGAUAUUGUCAAUGGCAAUUUCUAUCUCAACUAGAGUCUUAACAGGAACACCUGUUUUGCCUGUUCCUCCCUCAGUCUUACCCUCCCCCCCAUUUUUCUGUUCUUUCAUUUUUACACUCUUCAUUGAACUUCAUGGAUGUUUGCAUGAUGAUUUUGGAAGUCCCGUUUAAGCUUUGAAAUACAUAUACAGUGUGGCUUAGUCCUAUACGGAGGAAUCUACAGAGGAAAGAGAGAUCAACAUUUACUGUUAUUAUUGCUAUUUUUAUUAUUUCGUGAUUAUAUGAAAUCUUGUCUACUGCCUUGGAAGAGGCAAUGGCACUUUAAAAGGCUAUGCUGAACAUAAGAUAAGGUUGAGUUUUAAACAAUUGUCCUUUUCCUGCCAUCUCAAUGCAGCUCCACCCAUUUCUUAGGAGUGUCUCAUUUAACAACAGUGCGGGAGAAGAAGUGUCUUUUAGUGAGAACAGGGAAUCAGAAGCUGGGUUCGAUAUUACCAACUUGGUCACUUUCCCAAAUAACUCCUUCAUCAGAAUGAAGGUUGGAUGGAUGAAUUUGGAUGCUCCCCCAGGAAAAGAGUUUUCCAUCAAUGAAGACAAAAUGGUGUGGCACAGGAGUUUUCAGCAGGUGGGGCGUGAUUUCAGAAAAUUGCAACUCCAGUGUGUCCUAAAUGUGAUGUUUGCAUCUUGGAAGCCUAGCAGAGACAUGGAUCCUGUAUUUUCUCUCUCUUGUUGUUUAUGAAAACCUCUAUGAAUGUUGUGGGGCUCUGAUGCCUUGAAGCAGACCAGGACAUAGUUCAUUAUUAUAUGCUUGUUUGUUUAUUGCAUUUUUAGUCCACCUUUCCUCCAAGAGCUCAAGGCUGUGUGCUUACUUCCUGUUUUAUCCUAACAACCAACCCUGUAAGGUAGUGUAGACUGAGAGCAGCAGUGACUGGCCCAAGGUCACCCAAUGAGUUUCAUUUGAAUCCUGGUCUUCCACUUCCCUGUCUAGCACAUUCUUUAAAGAUUUCUAGGCCAGCACAGUGUGACCUAAGCCUAACCUCCAACCAACUUCUUUGGGGAGAAAGAAAAGAGAGCUGAGCCUGGAGACAGACGAGGCAGACUUCUGCAGAGAAUGCCUGGUUUGGAGGCUAGUAAUUCUCAAGAUAUAGUAGCAGAGGUCUGGCAGAGUCCAGCACUAACUUUGGUUUUGAGGCUGCUUAACUUGUGUUACAAUUGUCUCUUGGCCCAGUGUAUUUAGUCUGGAGUUCUCAGUCCCCAAUAUUUGUGCUUUUUCAGGUGGAAAAACAGAAGGAACCUGACAGUGUAUAUAGGUGCUGCUUAUUUAAAUCGCUUAGGAUGUCAAAACAUCCUUUCAACUCUACUUUAAAUCCUUUUGAGUUUUAUAAGAAAUGUAUUUUUCCAAAUAAUAAUAAUAAUAUUACUGUUCAGGUGAACUCCCUCCCUCCCUCCUUUUGAUUUUUAUUUUUUUAAAAAACACAUUGAUAUGACCAUAACUUCAUUUUCAGAGUCACAAAAACAUCUUCUGUCUCAUUAGAUGCCAUUAAUAGCUGUUGACAGCUCAUUGCUGUCAAAAUUCUCUUAAUAUUCAGCAUGCCAUUUCUCCUACCCACUUGAUCCCUUGCACCCCAGAAAAUGGAGUUCAGGUUCUCCAAAGGUCCAUUAUUCCCCCUGUGCUAAACAUUUCCUUACGGUUAAUUAAAAUUCACAGGUGCCACCCCUCUCUCAAUGCAACAAAAAUUGCCCUUCUGGUACUAGGAGAAAAAAGAAGGAAGGGGAGAAAUUCUGCUGCUAUGACUGUGCUCCAUGUUCAGAAGGCAAGAUUUCAUACCAGAAAGGUAGGAGACAUUAGGUAGCUUUCAGAUAACUCAGAUUUCCUGUGAAGGGUCUGUGGCAGAGUGAAAGGUGUCACAGUUGCUGCUAUUGAUGUAGUUCUGAUAUCUAUGGUCAUUGAAGUUCACAGACUUGGAGCUCUUCAUUGCAAUGAGGUGAUGGCCCAGCAACGAGGCCCAGCAUUAUCAAAGAGGUGCUUUGCAAGCCCAAAUGAUCAGAUGAUGGUUGGGGUUUACAAAGCACACUGUUACCUGCCCUACACCUAACAUCAGAGGUGACAUCAGAUACAGGGCCAGUAGGUGUAACUUGCUAAAAUGGCCCCAUGGGCCAGAGGUUUUCUAUCACUUGAUUACCUGGGUGGUGAUGGAGAUGAGUUGCAGCAGUGCACCUGCAAAGCACAGGCCUCCUGCUGUCCAGACCCACCACCUUACUGUCCAGGCAAGCGACUGAGAUCAUUGUCUGGGGGAGGGGGGUUCAAAGCCCUUUCUCCCCAUGCUAGUCACUCCUGUGUCUGAAAAGGAUUGUCUCUUCCACACCCAACUGGUAAGUCCCAUACUGCCAGGAGGAUGCAUACCUACUCACAAGUUGUACCCUUAAAGGGAAUCCUUUCUUCUUUUCAGACAUGAAUGACUGUGUCGGAUGCUCAGAAGAUCACUAUCCAAACAGGAACCGAACACAAUGCAUUCCAAAGUUCAUCAGCUUCUUGACUUUGGAAGAACCGCUUGGGAUGAGCUUAGCUUUUGGCUCCGUAUUCUCCUCUUUGCUCACCAUCUUGUCCCUCGCCAUCUUUAUGAAGCAUCAGGACACACCGAUUGUCAGGGCCAAUAAUCGGGACCUCACCUACGUUCUCCUCCUGUCUCUCCUUCUCUGUUUUCUCUGUCCCCUCAUCUUCCUCAGCCGACCAGACAGAGUGACCUGCCUUGUCCGACAAAUGGCUUUUGGUGUGGUUUUCACAGUGACUGUUUCUUGUGUGUUGGCCAAAACCAUCACCGUUGUUCUGGCAUUCAUGGCCACCAAACCAGGAUCCAGAAUGAGGAAAUGGGUGGGGAAAAGACUGGCAAGCGCCAUUGUGUUGACUUGUACUAUUAUCCAAGCUGGUAUUUGCACUGUGUGGCUGGGAACCUCUCCCCCAUUUCCCCAUUUUGACAAGCAUUCUGUGACAGGAGAAAUUAUUCUGGAAUGUAAUGAAGGGUCAGCUGCCAUGUUUUACUGUGUCCUGGGCUACAUGGGCCUCCUGGCCAUUGUCAGUUUUGUUGUAGCAUUUUUAGCCAGGAAACUGCCUGACAGCUUUAAUGAGGCCAAAUUCAUCACCUUCAGUAUGUUGUUAUUUUGUAGUGUUUGGAUCUCCUUUGUUCCGGUCUACCUGAGCUCCAAGGGGAAACACAUGGUGGCUGUGGAGAUCUUCUCCAUCUUGGUCUCCAGUGCUGGUUUACUGGGUUCCAUCUUUUUCCCCAAAUGCUACAUUAUCAUAUUAAGGCCUGAUCUGAAUGACAAACAGCAGUUAAUAAAGAAGAAAUAGCAAAGUACCCUGUUGUCACUCUUUUCUGUUACCCCAGAACAUGGGUAAUGAUUUUGCUGCUGACUCCUUGAUAUAAUUUCAUUUUAUUUGUUUAUUGAACUUGCUAUGUGCAUAAAAAAAUAAUCAGAUGGUUCUCCCCCCACCCCGAGAUGUGGUCUGCACCUUUGGGAGCCCAAGGGCACAACUGGAAAACUGAGGAACUCUUGUGGACACAAAAAAACACCAAUUUCACAGAAGAAAGUGUGGAGAUGCUCAGAAACUCCACCUCCAUCCUUUCUUGUAACUUGAAUCCAUUGGUUUGGGUCCUACUCUCUGUAGCAGGAGAAAAGCUUGCUGCAUCUUCCAUGUGACAGCCCUUGAGGUAUUUGAAGAUGGGUAUCAUAUCUCCUCUCAGUCUCCUUUUUCCAGGCUAAACAUACCCAGCUCCCUCAACCGUUGCUCAUAAGGCUUGGUUUCCCACCCAUCAUCUUCCUGGCUGCCCUCCUCUGCACAUGUUCAGCACACAUUUUACCUCAUGAAAAUAUAAUGGGGUACUUUGCCAAAAGCCUGACUGAACUCAAAAUAGACUAUGACCACAGCAUUCUCCUGAUCCACCACAUUUGUAAUGCCAUAAAAAAGAAAAGAAAUGAGAUUGGUCUGGUUUGACAACAACAGGCCCAGGACAGAACCCUUUGGCACAUCUGUGGCAUCAAGAGAUAAUAUCUCUAUGCUAUGAGGAGAAAAUGAAAAGGAGGGAAAUACCCCUCUUCCCAGAGAGAGUGAGAGAUGCCACAUAUACCUAUUCUGAACUCAGAAUUGUACAUGCAGCUCUCUGUGUGUAAUGAAGAAGUACUUGCAUGAAGAGCCAGGACAGAAAUUCCCUACCUCAAGUUUUGUUUUAAAUUUUGCCUAAGCAGCAGACCUCCUUACAGGCCUGUGGUCUGAAGUCUAGUGCUGCAUCCUUGGAAUCAGAGAGUCAGGGCCGAGCUCACAAUCCCCUUUGUGUCUCAAACUCUGUUCUUGAAUGCACUUUCCUCUUCACAAAGCAGCAUGUGAGAAAGAGGGUUUAGGUGAAAUCACAAGGGCAGUCUUUGCCCUGGGCACAGUUUUUCCAGGGCACGUUUUGCUCCUCACACCACCCAUGUCAGCCCGGUUCUGUUUUGCAAGUCUGAUCCCACAUCCCAGCCCCUCAAAGCAGUGUGGGGCUGGCAGGGCGUCAGGAGGAUGUAAUGGGCAUGUGCCCUUCCUGCUGCGUCCUCCUCAUGUCACGCACCCAGCCUGUCACGGAUGCUUCAGUUGUGAUCCCUGCAUUCCAGGGGGUCGAGCUUGAUGACCUUUGGGGGCUCCUUUCAAUUCUACCUUUUUCUGUUUAUUUAGGUGAAUAUAUAUAGGGGCCCUAAAAAGGCCUGCAGACAGGGCCCAACGGACUGUAUGUCCAUCAUCACACUCAUGCCUUGAAGUCACUCAGAGUCUGCUCACAAUUGUUCCUUUCCAGCCAAAUUCUACCAGUGGCAGGAUUCAUCUUGGCCCCAUGGGUUUACCUGCCCCAUGCCUGGCCUCACAUAACAUCAGCUGAUGGACAUGUGAAUGUGGUUUGGACCAUGAGCCCAAUGGAGAGGCUAGGUUGGCCUAACUGCUGCAGGUCAGAGGUCCUUGUUGAUUCCCUGCAAGGUGCCUUCUCUACCUGUGUAGAUCCUCUUGAGUGACUGACAACUUUUAGGGUUCUGGAUUGUGUAAGAAAGUACAGUAAGUAGAGAAAGCUGCAGAGGCUCUCUUCUGAGAACACAGUAGGUGAUGAAACUGGCAGCAGGGAUGCAAUGGAGGAGAAGGGGAACAGGCUUAUUCCUGCUCCCCCCUCAUUACAAUGCCUUGAAAACACUUGAAGGAGGCUGCUGAGGGAUUAUUUUGUGUGGAUCAUUGUCUCUGCUACUUCCAAUGGACCAGCUGAGGCAAAGGGAACAAUAUUCUCUCCCCGGUUAUUAUCAAUUACAUGGUAAUAAUCUGCUUCUGAUUAGACCUCCAUAGACUUCCAGGAAUCCAGUCUACAAAGAAUUAAAACCCUCUCUGCCAUCCCCAGCAAAUGCUAAGGUGCUGCUGACUCGUUUAGUGAGCUUUCCCCUGGAGUUGGAUCCUAGGUCUUGGGAAUUUAGCUGGUGCAUUCGGAGAGUGCCAUUCAAGGUAAGCUGCUGUACUGAGGUUGUUUCUAAUGCCAAUGCUGAUUAGCUGUAAACAGCGAAAUCGCUGUCCAGGAAAGUGUAUUGUUCCUAGUAUGGCAGUGUUGAUGCUGUUAAUCUUCUUGCUGCCUCAAAUGGCGAAUCUGUCAAACGUCAGUCGGAGCAUCAGUCACCUCCAUAUCCCACACAAGUACUAUCAGCCAGGUGACCUUAUCAUUGGUGCACUUGCUUCUCACAUCAUGUCCUCUGUUGACUAUGAAACCUUCAUACAAUGGCCAUCCAUCCAUCAGAUUCUUAAUCCAUUGUAAGUAUCGCAAAUUUUCAGUUCCUAUGUCAUAUUAAUUCCUAAGUUACCAUGUGGGCUCAGAAAUACAUACUAUUUAUUUUCGCUAUGGGGAUUUAUAACUUAUAGGGAGGGGUGCAAAAUAUCCCCCCACCGAACAUAGGAUCAAUCUUAAACUUAACCCUCCCCACCACCUGAAUUUUAACAUCUAAAAUGAUCAAGACAGACAAUAAAUUUUUCGUCAAGCCUGUAGAAAAGAUGUGAAUUGUCUAGGAUCCAGCAUGGAAGCAAAGAAAGAGCAGUCUUCCAGUGAGAUAUGACAUUAUGUUCUGGGUGGUGUGUUUCUCUCCCACCCCCAAGCUCCCCCACCCCCAAGCUCCCCCACCCCAUUUUCCAGAGCAGUGCUUAAGGGAGAGGAGGAGCCAUGGCCACGACCAGUCACAUGGGUGUCAUAAUCUAGAGAGCCCAGCAUUCUGAUGUCAACAGGAAAUGGGUGAAUGGCCAGUAGGAACCAGUGGUCUACCUAUUACAUGCCUGUCUACACAGAGUAGCAGUGGCUCUCCAGGAUUUCAGACAGGGGUCUGCCCCAGCCCCACCUGUAUGCUAAGCAAAUGCUCUACCAUUGGGUUUUACAGAAUCUUCAAAGAAAAGGUACACAGAGUAAUUGUCAAAACAUUACAGGCAACAGAAGGUUGGCUGCUAUCGGGGGCAAUAGCUUCAUUGAUGCGUGGGAAACUGAGGUGGGGUUCCAGAAACCUGCAAAAGGGCAACAAACUACAAGAAGGAAGCAGCUGGAGAGAAUGAUUCCUAGUUUCAGUUUUCUCUACUGAAAGGCACAGAGAAUGGGAAACAAGCAAGAUGAAUUGGAGCUUUUAAUACAGGAUGGCAAAUAAGACAUAUGACCUAGAAGGCGAGUAGGCAUUGUCUCAGGGUUCAAGAUUUCUUUAACAGAUUGGAGGAUUGGGUUAACAAAUGAAUUUAAAUAGGGAGAAAUGUAAGGUUCUGCACUUAGGCAGGAAGUACCAACUUCAGAAAUAUAAGCUGAAGGACACCUGGCUUACUAGGAUCUCGCCAUCUUAGUGGAACUCAAGCUUCACUUGAGUGAACAGUGCGGUGCAGUUUUUGCUGUAUGUGUAUUUAAAACAAAUUCUUUAUUGGUUUAAUUCAAUCUGCCUGUAAGCUGCCUUGUUGCUCCCUAGCACAGAAAGACAUGGAACCUAAGUUUCUUUAAACAGAUUGACCAAAAAUGGUACACAGCAAUACGCUUUGAUGUCCAACUCUCAUUGCAGUGUUGUACCAAAAUACUAUCAGCAAAUUCUGGCCUUGGUGUUUGCAGUCCAGGAAAUCAACAAGAAUUCCAAUCUAUUACCUAAUGUCACAUUAGGAUUCCACAUCUUUGAUAGUUACUUCAGUGAAAGGAUGACCUACUGGGCCACUUUGGAGCUGCUCUCUACACACUACAGAUUCGUACCCAACUACCAGUGUGACAAACAGAAAUAUCUGAUGGCUGUCAUUGGGGGACUUGACUUUGAGGUUUCCCUCCACAUGGCAGCCAUCUUAGGUGUUUACAAGAUUCCCCAGGUAAGAGUCAAACAUGGUGACUCAUUCUUCUUUCCUCUGUCCUGUUGAGAAAAGUUGUGCAUUCCAUCAUAGCCCUCUUGACAAUUUCAAAUUGUAUUCAAUAAAAGCUUUCAUCCGUCUCCAUCCAUUUCCCAACGUGUGUAUAUUCUUCAGAAGGUAGGAAUGGAACAUUCUGAAGAUACAGUUGUACACACCUACUCUAUGUAUGUGAACAGCUUGGUCUGCUGGCCUCAGGUAGACUCCAACCAGGAUGAAUUAUGGAGUCUCAUCAGUCGCUUGUACAUUACCUUAAUUUAUUUGACCUGGAUAAUUUGGGGCUGUCAGGGGUGCCGUCAACAGGUCACCGGCUAUCUACCUAGUGAAAUCAGAGGAGCAGAGAGAGCUUUUCAAUGGUUUCAUUUUAAUCCACAGGAAGACAGAAAGACGUGAAAGUAUGCUCUCACCCUUGAGCUAAUAUUGCUCAGAUUGCAACUCCACCAUGCACCGACAAUUUCUUCCUAGAAAUCAGAUGCCUCCUGCUGCCUAUGGUGGCUGCUAAGAUCAAUUCUCUUUUGGGUUCUGCAAAGCGUGUCUUGACCUUGUGGAAGGAGAGGGCUCUGACAAACUCUCUUGAGAAAGAAUGUCACUUGGCUGCUGUACUGUUUCUAAGAAAUGUGACUCAUGUCUUUGUUCAUUGCCACCUUGCUCUGGUUCAUCAUCACUUAUUAUUUCCCAGGUCCUUUUUCCUUCUCGGGUGUGACCUGUCUCAAACCACCACACCAUACUCUCCCCCCUUCCUUCUUUCUGGAAGGUUCUUAGGGUGCUGCUCUCCACCACUCCUCCUCAUCUGCCCAUUCCCUGACGGGCUUACUAAGACAGCAGGUCCAAAGCACAAUGGUUUCAUCAUUGCAAUCCACACAUAACCAAUGUUUCUACUGCAUUAAUGGGAAUUAAGUGUCCGUUUCCUUCUAGCUCACUUAUGGCUCCUUUGCCUUAGAGGAUGCUGGUCAAAGCGAAUCCACUUCCUUCUACCGGAUGGUGCCCAAUGAAGCCCAUCAGUACACUGGGAU